UCACUGGUGGCCUAGUGGUUAGAGCAUCUGCCUCUGAUGCAGGAGGUCACAAGUUCGAACCCUGGCCUGUCAU